AGAGAUGUGUGAUGACGCAUAUCAAUAAGCGGAGGAAAAGAAACUAACAAGGAUUCCCUUAGUAACGGCGAGUGAAGCGGGAAGAGCUCAAAUUUGAAAUCUUCAAGGUUCUACCUUGACGAAUUGUAGUUUAUAGAAGUGUUUUCUGUUAGUGGAGUGGCAAAAGUUCUUUGGAAUAGGACAUCAUAGAGGGUGAGAAUCCCGUAUUUGGUCAUUCCUUCUAGCUUUGUGAUACACUUUCAAAGAGUCGGAUUGUUUGGGAAUGCAGUCCAAAAUGGGUGGUAAAUUUCAUCUAAAGCUAAAUAUUGGCGAGAGACCAAUAGCGAACAAGUACCGUGAGGGAAAGAUGAAAAGAACUUUGAAAAGAGAGUUAAACAGUACGUGAAAUUGUCAAAAGGGAAGCGUUUGACACCAGUGUUGUUUUUCCGAAAAUCAAUUACGAAUGUUUUAUUUUUGAGAAGUUAUGACUUCAUCGGCUUGCUCCUUUCUUUAUGAAACUUUCUUAAUGCACUUUUCGGUUAACAAGUCAACAUCAAUUUCUUUUGUUGUAAAAGGGUAUGAGGAAGGUGGCUUUCUUUUCGGAGAAAGUGUUUAUAGCCUUGUGCCUCUGCAAUCGGAGAGAUUGAGGUCUGCAGCGUAGAUCCUUCGGGGUUAGAUACAUUUGUGCUAAGUUAUAGCUUUUCAUAGACAACUUGUUGACUAUGUUUAGUCUUGUAGCUUACUCGCUUAUGCUAUUUUACCUACGCUUAGGAUGUUGACGAUCAGCUGAGCGCG
rnacentral:rRNA from 1 species